rnacentral:rRNA from 1 species
CAGUAAGGAAUAUUGGUCAAUGGACGAAAGUCUGAACCAGCCAUGCCGCGUGGAGGAUGAAGGUCCUCUGGAUUGUAAACUUCUUUUAUAUGGGACGAAAAAGGGCCUUUCUAGGUCAACUGACGGUACCAUAUGAAUAAGCACCGGCUAACUCCGUGCCAGCAGCCGCGGUAAUACGGAGGGUGCAAGCGUUAUCCGGAUUCACUGGGUUUAAAGGGUGCGUAGGUGGGUCGGUAAGUCAGUGGUGAAAUCUCCGAGCUUAACUUGGAAACUGCCAUUGAUACUAUCGAUCUUGAAUACUGUGGAGGUCAGCGGAAUAUGUCAUGUAGCGGUGAAAUGCUUAGAUAUGACAUAGAACACCAAUUGCGAAGGCAGCUGGCUACACAAAUAUUGACACUGAGGCACGAAAGCGUGGGGAUCAAACAGGAUUAGA